AGACCCGAAACCCGGUGAUCUAGCCAUGGGCAGGUUGAAGGUUGGGUAACACUAACUGGAGGACCGAACCGACUAAUGUUGAAAAAUUAGCGGAUGACCUGUGGCUGGGGGUGAAAGGCCAAUCAAACCGGGAGAUAGCUGGUUCUCCCCGAAAGCUAUUUAGGUAGCGCCUCGUGAAUUCAUCUCCGGGGGUAGAGCACUGUUUCGGCUAGGGGGCCAUCCCGGCUUACCAACCCGAUGCAAACUGCGAAUACCGGAGAAUGUUAUCACGGGAGACACACGGCGGGUGCUAACGUCCGUCGUGAAGAGGGAAACAACCCAGACCGCCAGCUAAGGUCCCAAAGUCAUGGUUAAGUGGGAAACGAUGUGGGAAGGCCCAGACAGCCAGGAUGUUGGCUUAGAAGCAGCCAUCAUUUAAAGAAAGCGUAAUAGCUCACUGGUCGAGUCGGCCUGCGCGGAAGAUGUAACGGGGCUAAACCAUGCACCGAAGCUGCGGCAGCGAACGUAUCACCCAAGACAACUUUACGGAGUUGACGAUUGACGGAGCGAAGCGACGUCAAAGCGUUCAUUAAAGUCGAGUUGGCUUAGGGAUACGUUCGUUGGGUAGGGGAGCGUUCUGUAAGCCUGUGAAG
rnacentral:rRNA from 2 species